rnacentral:lncRNA from 1 species
AAUAGGAAGUCAUGCUGGUCAAUUUUAUGGAUCCGCUUAUAGGCCAUCAACGCCAAACACCAUAGCCGGUGAUACUUAUAGGCCUGCACCAUUCAUGGAAAGCUCAAAGGGCUUGCCAAACACCAUACCUGGUGAUUCUAGUAGGACACCGCCGUACUUGGAAGUCUCUCCGGGGUUGCCAAACACCAUACCUAGUAAUGCUUAUAGGCCUGCACCAUACAUGGAAAGCUCUAAGGGUUUGCCAAACACCAUACCUGGUGAUUCUAAUAGGACACCACCGUACUUGGAAGUCUCUCCGGGGUUACCAAACACCAUACCCAGUAAUGCUUAUAGGCCUGUUCCAUACAUGGAAAGCUCUAAGGGUUUGCCAAACACCAUACCUGGUGAUGCUAAUAGGCCAUCACCAAAACUGGAAGGCUCUAUGGAGUUGCCGAACACCAUAAAUGGUGAUGCUUAUAGGCCACCACCAUAUUUGGAAGGCUCUAUGGGGUUGCCAAACACUAAGCCUCCACCAC